rnacentral:lncRNA from 1 species
GGGCGCGCAGUGGGGUUCCUGGGCGUGGCGCGGCCGUGGCCGCCAGGGUGGCGGCGAGCUCGGCUGCCGGCGGCGAGGGCCCCGAGGCAGCGCCUCCCCGCGGGGCACCCCCCGCUUUCCGAGGGGCACGGGGCGCGGCGACACUUGUCGCUCUCACGUGAAACCAGCCGAGAAAGCGCCUCGAGGCGGAGAAGGCCCUGUGCGGCCCGGGGCCGGCGGCCGGGGCGCGGAGUCCCGCCUGCACCUGCCACUGCGGGCUGGCUCUGGGGACGCCUCCCCGGGCUGGUGGCAGUUCGGGGACAUUCAGAAGGACAAACACCUGGGGCGUCGUUCAGCGGCGAGAGGGACCGAAAGGUGAGCCAGCCCCGCCCCCAGGACUGGCGGGAGGCGCGAGCCUCGGCUGCCCCGGAGCCGCGAGCGGGGCGCGGAGGGACCGUCCGCGUCCUCCGCUCGGUCCCCGCAGCCCGCACGGAGCAGCGUCGCCGCCCUCCAGAGACGUCCUGGGCCGGUUUGGGAAGGGUCUCCGCUUCUUUCUGGAGGCUUGGCGCUCGCGGCCCCGCGCCUGGCCUGUUCCUCGUGGGAGACGGCUCGGGAGGCGGUUUGCCGAGGAGCCUGGUGGUGGGCCCUCCACGACGUUUCCGUCUUCCUGCACCUACCAUUAGACGUUUGGAGAGAGGAAAGCGUGGGCGUCGCAAGCCUUCUAGGUUUCCACGUUCUCAGGAGCCCCUUUCCUAAGAGGACGUUCUGCCGGUGAUCUAUUAAAAGGCGCACCCCUGUCGUCCCAGCGGCUUGGGGGGCUGAGGCAGGAGGGUCACAAGUUAAAAGCCAGCCCUAGCAAAUUAGGGAGGCCCUGAGCGAUUCAGCGAGAUACUGUCUCAAGAUAAAAAGCCCCCCUUGGUUCAAUUCCCAGUAAUAACAAUAACAAAAAAGUGAAUCGGCCAGGCCAUUGGGGCACACCUGUAAUCCCAGCUACUCAGGAAACUGAGGCAGGAGGAUCACAGGUACAAAACCAGCCUCAGCCAUUUAGCAAGGCCCUAAGUAAUUUAGCAAGACCCUGUCUCUAAAUAAAACAUAUAAAGGGCUGGGGAUGUGGCUUAGUGGUUAAAGUCCUCUGGAUUCUCUCCCCAAAAAAUGAAAGAAAAAAAAAUCUGGUUAACUGUACUAUUGGUCUUUUUUAUCCUUGGAGAUAAGUAACUGACAACUUGUAGGGACUAUAAUCUAUUACCUAAUAUCAGUAUAUAAUUGGUGAAUGUUGUUAUCGUAAAUUUUGACAGUUCAAAAUGCAUGCUUAGGUAGGCUUUGUUUUUCUGGUAUUGGGGAUUGAACCUAGGGAUGCUCUACCAUUGAGCCACAUCCCCAGCCUUUUACUUUUUUUUUUUUUUUUUUUAAUUUUGAGAUAGGGUCUCCCUAAAUAGCUGAAACUAGCCUUGAAUUUCAAUCUUCAUGCCUUAGCCUCCGCUGUAACUGGAAUUGCAGGUGUGUCACCAUGCCCAGUUUUUAAGAUGAUUUCAAAUAGACAUUAUGAAAUACUAUGCUAGAGCAACUUAGCAAUUUAGUGAGACCCUGUUUCAAAAAUAAAAAGGACUGGGAUAUAGCUCAGAGGGAUGUAGCACCCCUGGGUUCGAUCCCUAGACAGAGGCUAGGACAUCAUAAAGGAUCAAAUAAAAGGAAUUCUGUAAAAGCAGUUGUGCACAUAAUUUGAUAAACUAAAGCUAUCUCCUAGCCCCCCCAAAAAAGAAAGGAAAAAGGACUUAUCCCUGAGUUAAGAGUUAAUUGGAGGGGCUGGGAUUGUGGCUCAGCGGUAGAGUACUCGCUUAGCCCGGGCAGGACCUGGGUUUGAUCCUCAGCACCACAUAAAAAUAAAGGCAUUGUGUUGUGUCCAUCUACACCUAAAAAAUAAAAUAUUAAAGAAAAAAAGAGACUUAAUUGGACCACUUAGGAGGCUGAGGCAGGAGGAUUUCAAGUUGAAAUCAGCCUCAGCAAUUUAGCAAGAUCCCGUCGCCAUGGGUUCAAUCUCCAGUACCACAUACACACACACAAAAGGUAAUUAGAAAUUCAGGUUAGGGGCUGGGGAUGUGGCUCAAGCGGUAGCGCGCUCGCCUGGCAUGCGAGCGGCCCGGGUUCGAUCCUCAGCACCACAUACAAACAAAGAUGUUGUGUCCACUGAGAACUAAAAAAUAAAUAUUAAAAAAUUCUCUCUCUCUCUCUCUCUCUCUCUCUCUCUCUCUCUCUCUCUCCUUAAAAAGAAAAAAAACCAAUACUUUAAAAAAAAAAAAAAUUCAGGUUAGUUCUGUAACUUGCCCAGGUAACAUGUCAUUGUGAUAGGGACAGUCCAAUGAUUGAAUUGGUACAUCAUUUAGAAAUGGCAUAUCAGAGGGAACACAGGGAGGUAAGCAUUCAAGAUUGGACAGGGAGAUCAGAAGGGAAUUUGCUAUUUCAUCACUUUUUUGAGAUCAUUAAAUUGAUGUUUUAUAAAAGUAGAUGAAGAAGAGGUGAAUCUCUUCUCUUUGGUUUUACUUUUCAUUUCUGAUGAUAAAUAUAUUUUCUUCAAGAAAGCUAUAUUUGCAAUCAACAUGACAAAGAAUUCUAAUUGGAAAGCCAAAUUAAUUUUCUUUUAAGGACAGAGGUUUACAAUUGUGGGAUAUUGGUAAAUGGAUUAUUACUACUCAGCAAUAUGAAAGAAUGAACUACCGAUGGAACAGUGUUAAUUUCUAAAAGGUGAUGUGGAGAAGACAAAAUUGAGAACAUUAUGUCAUUCUAUGGAUAGAGUUCAAAAACAGGCAGUCCUUAUUACUUUGGCAGCAGAUGGAUUGGAAAGGGGCAAAAGGGAACUUUCCUGGGGUGUUGGAAAUGCUCUGUGUUACAGGACACAUUUACAUAAUUGUGGACACUUAACAAGCUCCUUAUAAAAUCUGUGCAUUUCACUGUAUACAAAUUAUACCUUAAUUAAAAAAAAACUUUCUACAAGUUUUGUUUGCUGGAACUUCUUUAUAAGUCAUAAUUACUCCU